CAGUCGCCGCGGUAAUACGUUGGUCCCGAGCGUUGUCCGGAUUUAUUGGGCGUAAAGCGAGCGCAGGCGGUUAGAUAAGUCUGAAGUUAAAGGCUGUGGCUUAACCAUAGUACGCUUUGGAAACUGUUUAACUUGAGUGCAAGAGGGGAGAGUGGGAUUCCAUGUGUAGCGGUGAAAUGCGUAGAUAUAUGGAGGAACACCGGUGGCGAAAGCGGCUCUCUGGCUUGUAACUGACGCUGAGGCUCGAAAGCGUGGGGAGCAAGCAGGAUUAGAUACCCCCGUAGUCCCUGUCUCUUAUACA
rnacentral:rRNA from 1 species